UUGUCAUUUUCCAUGUCUGUAGUCUGUGUUGGUGAAACGAAUCUUCCAUGUGAUUUACAUUAUCUUGGCUUUGGCAAUUUUUAAAUUAAUUACAGUUGUAUAUAUGUGUAUUUGUGAUUUUCUUGCGUCCAGGGUUUGUCAGAAACAACAUCGCUCUCGCCAGACCCCACUUGUGGAACUAUACCGGGAAUGUUGUUUUAUCUAUGUGUGUAUGUUGGUGUUGUACUUUUAUAAAGCUACACUAUAUUGAGUGCUUGAUUAUGGCGUUUCUUCAACAUCAAUUUGAAGUUUGUGGAACGUGAUUAAAUGGGGCUAAAAGGUAGACAACAAACACUUUGGGUUAGCUAUGGAUCAUAUACAGUCGAGGGAAAGUGAUUUCGAGGUAGAUUUAGAGAGUGGGGGAACAACUAGUGAUGAAGAUGGCAGUUAUAACUAUGAUCUGACUGGUGAAAUUUCUAAUAGAGAGUCGUAUAAAGCGGGUAGUGAGUUUCGUGGAGUUCAAUCGUGCAAUGGAUCUGUAAGGAACCAAGAUGGUUCAAGUACAUAUAACAAAAGUUUAAGUGCUGAUGAGCUAUCAUCUGUUAGGCGCACAGAAAUUUGGUCAAACAAAGUGAAGGAAGAGAUGGAAAAUUUGGGGGACAAAAAAAUGAAUAUCGACAAGACAAGGAAGCCAAAGCCUGCUAAACCACCUAGACCCCCAAAGGGUCCAGCACUGGACGCCUCUGAUGCAAAGUUCGUCAAGGAAAUAUCUGAUCUUGCUAUAUGGAAGCGUAGAAGGACCGAAAGAAUAAAGGCACUGAAGAAAAUUAAAAAGGAGAGCGGAUCAUCUUCGAGGAUGAAUAUAUUAGCAACGGUGAUCACAAUUCUGUUCUUCUUGAUUAUUAUAUUUCAAGGUGUUUUGGGCUCUCGUGUAUGACACCAGUGUGUAUGUCGCCUUUAAAUUCAGUGGAAUUUUACCAUGCAACAACCAACUGCUUAACUAUUAAAGUGCCUUUACGAAAGUCUUGCUGGUAGAUUUUAAGUGUAACUCACAAGUGUGCUAUCUUAUCCUCGAAUCUUCCCCCGGCCCAAGAAAAAGACAGCAGGGUGAAAUGAUUCGAGGGGAAACAAUGAUAUCAGCACAAGAGGAGCAGGUCUGAUGAUUGACUAACUGCCCACUUCUUGCAGAUCCAAGGAUUGUGGGUUUGGAGUUAACGGGGGAACUGACUCAGACAAGUUUUGAAUCUUUUGGCUAAUAGUCUCUGCUUAUUGCAUAGAAAUGUAAUGAUUACUAUGGAUUUUGCUAAGGGUUCCUGAUAUUUGUAGGUGCUCUUAAGUAGCUAGAAAAAGAUACCCUGAUUACAUGCGCCUGGGAGCCAGACAUGGCUUUGGUAAUGUACAGGGGCCAUUGCGAAACGACACAACUACCGUAUCUUAAUUUGAGAUGUGCACCUUCCUAAUGUUUUGGUUAUGUUAGCCCUUCAUUUAUGCAUAGCACCUUCGUCUAUGUGAUUCGACUGAGGUCAGAUAUUAUCAAACCCAAA